rnacentral:lncRNA from 1 species
UAUAAAAAUAAAUUUAUUUUUAGUCCAUCAAGGUGUCUGAAGAUUUUAUGCCUAGGUAUCUCCAUAUCUAACUUGAUAAGGAAAAUAGGAUAAACAAUGCUGGUAAUAGCAGGAAAGUAAGUAUUUGAAUAAGAUGUCAAACUGAUAUUUCAUGUGAACCUAACUCAUUUUAUGGUAACUAAUAAUUAUCUUAUUUAAAUCAAUAGGUAAAACCUGUUUAGAAAUUAAAAAUGAGUUACGAUUUAAAGAAAAUUCAGAUGACUCAUUGUGAGUGCUAGUUCUCUUGUAGGAUGCCACUGGAAAUGUUGAAAUGAAAAAUAUUCAGCCGUUGGUCUUUGAAAUUUCCUGUGAUGUGUUUCAAUCUAGAUGCAAAGAACAUGGAAAAAUCAAAGUGCUCGAGUGGUUUAAAUAUGUUUUGGGUAUUCCUGUUUAUAGACUAUAAUACUUUUCCAAUUAAAAUCCUCAGUUGUCACGCAGAAGAAGGUUAAGCUGUAUUUGAUUGCCAGUUUUACUGAAAAUGCUUAGUAUUUUACAGUAUCACCAAAUAUAUUUUGUUUAGCCAAGGUAUAGGAAAAAUAAAAUAAAUUGUAUAGGUUGACUUUUUUCUAAAAUGUCUUUAUUGGAUUGAAUGAAUGUUUAUACCUGAAAAAAAAAGGUUC